rnacentral:rRNA from 1 species
AGAGUUUGAUCAUGGCUCAGGACGAACGCUGGCGGCGUGCCUAACACAUGCAAGUCGAACGGAGGUAGCAAUACCUCAGUGGCGAACGGGUGCGUAACACGUGAAGAACUUGUYCMWYSGSSGGGGAWURSCSGSCCMAMSGGCCGGGUAAUACCGCGUACGCCGGUUGGAGCGCAUGCUCUGACCGGGAAAGCAGCAAUGCACCGAUGGAGAGCUUCGCGGCCUAUCAGCUAGUUGGCGGGGUCAAGGCCCACCAAGGCGACGACGGGUAGCUGGUCUGAGAGGAUGGCCAGCCACAUUGGGACUGAGACACGGCCCAGACUCCUACGGGAGGCAGCAGUGGGGAAUAUUGCGCAAUGGGCGAAAGCCUGACGCAGCGACGCCGCGUGCGGGAUGAAGGCCUUCGGGUCGUAAACCGCUGUCGCGAGGGACGAAACAAAUGACGGUACCUCGAAAGGAAGCACCGGCUAACUCUGUGCCAGCAGCCGCGGUAAUUCA